rnacentral:rRNA from 1 species
CAUUCACGGAGAGUUUGAUCCUGGCUCAGGACGAACGCUGGCGGCGUGCUUAACACAUGCAAGUCGAACGGUGACCCGGAGCUUGCUCCGGUGAUCAGUGGCGAACGGGUGAGUAACACGUGGGCAACCUGCCCCUGACUCCGGGAUAACUGCUCGAAAGAGCAGCUAAUACCAGAUACGACCACUUCGGGCAUCCGAUGGUGGUGGAAAGUUUUUCGGUCAGGGAUGGGCCCGCGGCCUAUCAGCUUGAUGGUGGGGUAGUGGCCUACCAUGGCGACGACGGGUAGCCGGCCUGAGAGGGCGACCGGCCACACUGGGACUGAGACACGGCCCAGACUCCUACGGGAGGCAGCAGUGGGGAAUAUUGCGCAAUGGGCGAAAGCCUGACGCAGCGACGCCGCGUGAGGGAUGACGGCCUUCGGGUUGUAAACCUCUUUCAGCAGGGAAGAAAUUGACGGUACCUGCAGAAGAAGCGCCGGCUAACUACGUGCCAGCAGCCGCGGUAAUACGUAGGGCGCAAGCGUUGUCCGGAUUUAUUGGGCGUAAAGGGCUCGUAGGCGGUCUGUCACGUCGGAUGUGAAAACUCAGUGCUUAACACUGGGCCUGCAUUCGAUACGGGCAGACUAGAGUUCGGUAGGGGAGACUGGAACUCCUGGUGUAGCGGUGGAAUGCGCAGAUAUCAGGAAGAACACCGAUGGCGAAGGCAGGUCUCUGGGCCAUAACUGACGCUGAGGAGCGAAAGCGUGGGGAGCGAACCGGAUUAGAUACCCGGGUAGUCCACGCCGUAAACGGUGGGCGCUAGGUGUGGGGA